GGACGGGCUCCUUGGUUGAAUGGCAAGCGACCAGUUGUUCAUCUAAUGGUUCUUCUUUAAUUUCAUCCACGUUAGCGUUGUGUUUUGUCUCCUGAGCGUCCUCUUCUUCUACUUCCUCAAUCAUUUCUUCGACUCGUACAACUUGUAAGGGAAGGACAUCCCGGCUGUCACACUCUAUAUGUCAGCAGUGAAAGGAACAAGCGCAGGAGUGUGUGAUCGACCCAGCAGCAGCAGCAGCAGCAGCAGCAGCAGCAAGCAGGCCCGGUGAGGAAGCUGUGUGUGGUGGGGCGGCUUGGUGGGAGCGGCUCUCGACACGCAGCCGGGGAGGGAGGAGCGGCGUCAGUGACGUGGCGAGCCACCAUACUCUCUUCCUGUUCUCUCCUAAUGAAAAAGAGCACCUCGCAGCCAAGCGUGCCCAUGCUGCAUCUCGUGUAAAUGACCUUGUACGCACACUCAUCUUCUGUGUGUGCAAAAAUUUCUCUGACGCGCAUUAAGAUAACUUUAUACAUAUAAUACGAAAAAUGGCGGGCGGGGCUGAGCGUCCAUCUCGCGGGUAAGCGGCUGCAUCACGCCAGCCGCGGUCCGCGUCACCAAGCCCACACCCUUGACUGCAUCAACACCUGACAUUCAACACUCUAGAAGACCAUAAUUCUCACAUUUCUAUUAAGGAAUUGAAUUAACGAGCACGAUGCUGGGAUGCUACCUAGCUAUCUGCCGUGGUUAUUUAUUAAUGGACAUAAUUUUAUAGUGAUCCAAAUUUGAAUGACUAUAACACUAAAUCCUCCCCCCCAAAAAAAAGAAAAAAAAAAAGAUGGAUGUGCAACAGUUGACAACGUGUAAGCCUCAGAGAUAAAUAUAUACUGGCCGUGCCAAGCAUAAAACGACAACCCUGAUCACCGUGACUAUCAUGAUUUGUGGUGGCCGCGAUGAAAAUUCAUGUCAUUUUGGAAACUGACGCUGCAAUGAGUUGCCCUUUAAAUACUAUCGUUUUCUUUGACGUGAAUUCUGAGCAGAGCCUUUCUAAAUUUCAUUCGCUCUUAAAGGGUAACAGCGUAAUUUAGCUUUCUACUGCUUGCAUUAAUUUCCCCUUGAAUCAUUCCUAACAUAUUUAAAUAUCAAGAUCUCGUUACUAAAGUUGUGUACUUUUCAUCAUUUGUGUAUGAGUACACCUAGCUGUAUCGUAAGAUUUUACUGAAUAUAUCCCUAAGUUACUACAUGGUUUCUACUCUAUUAAUCCGAUGUAUAUGUGAUGAGACAUAUAAUAAUGAAGGCAAUAUAAUAGUAAACAUCUUGCUUCACCACUUUCUUCAUUCUUUGCUAAUCUUCAGAAGUUCAACGAUAUAUUCCGCUCAACAAAAUAAACAAACAGAUAUAUUACUAAGACCAGACUACCAUGUAAUAUAUCCUUGCAUUCAGUUACAAAAUUAAUAAUCACAGACAAGUAUUCUCCGAGUCAGGCCUCAGGAUCAAUAUUAGCUCAGCAGCCAAGCUAGGUAGUGCCAGCCAACACCUGCUGCUGACGUCUUGGUAACACACACACACACACACACACACACACACACACACACACACACACAUCAAUCAAUAGUAUUUCCCUCCUAGAUUAGUCUUACCGUUAGGAUUAAUGUUAAGUUUUUCCCCAUCCCCUAUGUACAUUUUCAGUUUGUCAACUGCCUAAAUAAUAAACCGUUUAUUAUUAUUAUUAUUAUUAUUACACACUUUUACAAAACAAACAUCUCUAUAUUCUGAUAGGUAAUCAUCAUUACAGUAAUUACUUAAUUCUUAAUACUACUCCAUUUGAUUUUUGUGUCAAAUUUUAUGGAAGCUUUUGUUUUGUUAUCAGGGAAAAUAUUGCUUGCUUGUAUUUUUUUUA